GUGCUCACUUCAGCAGCACGCAUGCUAAAAUUGGAAUGAUGCAGAGAAGAGCAUCAUGGUCCCUGUGCAAGGAUGACACAAAAAUUCAUGAAGUAUUUCCUAAUUUU
ensembl:snRNA Gm23567 U6 spliceosomal RNA